GAUUAACGCUGGCGGCGUGCAUAACACAUGCAAGUCGAACGAUGAAACUUUAAUGAACCCUUCGGGGAGAAUUAAAGCGGAUUAGUGGCGAACGGGUGAGUAACGCGUGAGUAACCUGCCUUACACAAGGGGAUAGCCUUUGGAAACGAAGAAUAAUACCCUAUAAAACCAUAAAAGCACAUGCAAUUUUGGUCAAAGUGAUAGCGGUGUAAGAUGGACUUGCGUCUGAUUAGCUAGUUGGUGAGAUAAAAGCCCACCAAGGCAACGAUCAGUAGCCGGCUUGAGAGAGUGUACGGCCACAUUGGGACUGAGACACGGCCCAGACUCCUACGGGAGGCAGCAGUGGGGAAUUUUGCACAAUGGGGGAAACCCUGAUGCAGCGACGCCGCGUGAUUUAGAAGGCCUUCGGGUUGUAAAAAUCUUUUGUAUAGGAAGAAAAUGACAGUACUAUACGAAUAAGGUCCGGCUAAUUACGUG
rnacentral:rRNA from 1 species